GACGAACGCUGGCGGCGUGCUUAACACAUGCAAGUCGUACGGUAAGGCCCUUUCGGGGGUACACGAGUGGCGAACGGGUGAGUAACACGUGAGUAACCUGCCCACAACUUUGGGAUAACGCUAGGAAACUGGUGCUAAUACUGGAUAUGUGCUCCUGCUGCAUGGUGGGGGUUGGAAAGCUCCGGCGGUUGUGGAUGGACUCGCGGCCUAUCAGGUUGUUGGUGGGGUAGUGGCCUACCAAGGCGGCGACGGGUAGCCGGCCUGAGAGGGUGACCGGCCACAUUGGGACUGGGAUACGGCCCAGACUCCUACGGGAGGCAGCAGGGGGGAAUAUUGCACAAUGGGCGCGAGCCUGAUGCAGCAACGCCGCGGGCGGGAUGACGGCCUUCGGGUUGUAAACCGCUUUCAGCAGGGACGAAGCUUUUUGUGACGGUACCUGCAGAAGAAGCACCGGCUAACUACGUG
rnacentral:rRNA from 1 species